ensembl:lncRNA
AUGUUUUUUAAUGAAAUAGCCAUUUUCAUUUUCACUUUGAUGGUCUGCUGUACUUUCCCACCCCACAUGUACACAUCACCUUUCCUUGUACAUAAAGCCCAUUUUCUUCCUGCCUCUUUCCCCAUAGAACCUGCCCCUGUCUCUUCACAGGAAGAGUCCUUACCUUGGAGGCGCAACCGUCAUUGUGCUGGCCAGCUUCUGGCAGACCUUCCCAGCAGGUUCACUGUAUAUUGUCCAGGGAGUCUGAUCUCCAGUGGUGAACAGAGCUUGGACCCAAUUUGGGAUUCCUACCACAUUGAAAAAAAAAAAAAAAGGAAAUACAAUGCUAUAUGAUAAACUCAACUUCCAAGAAAUGGAGGUACUCCUAAACAAUUCUCACCUGUAAAUAACUCAUUUCCUUACAUAUAAAUAAAAUUCUCCCUGGAUAUGUAGACAUUUCACACAUAAGCCAAUUAGUUGCAAAUCUUCCCACCUGUAACACAUGAUGCUGAGACUUCUUCAGUCAUUCUUCCAGAAAUCUCACGGAGCAACAACUGUCUCUCAGGUAAAAGCCACACAAAGGGAAGCAGCACCAAGCAGACAGACACGUCCCUUGGUUUCAUGGAUGCUGAGCCAAAUAGGGUGUAAUGGGAGGGGGACCGUCACUUACAGACUCUAUUGCCGGGGAGGGUCUUGUGGCUGUGAACAUGUGGGUGAAGCCUUUUAACUUCUAUAUGACACAUUUCACUGAAAGGAAACCAGAAAGCUUUGGAACAAGGCCCACUGAAUCUUUGCCAUUGUGAUUCUGGCAUGAAGGCCUUAUUUGCCUCACAAGGGCAUCAACACAAGAAAUUACGUGUAGAUUUAAAAAAUCUGGAAGGAGGCAUAGAUUUGUCUUCAGCUGAGCAGGAAACAGGCUCUCGCCCAUAUCAUCUCUCCCUGGUUAAUCUACAGUGUUAAUAAUCUAUACCACACUCUUCAGAGCUUCAGUACUGCUCUUGCGCCAUCUGGUACAAUUUUACGUGGCUUCUAGUCCAUCUAUGAGUUAGCUGCCCCACAAGCUAGUUAGCUCCUUGAAGGCAUGGAGUUGCCUCUCUCCUUGAGACUGAGCUCAGGCUGGCUCUGCAGUGCAACUUAGUGACCCCUGCCCCAGUAGGCCCCACUGUAUUCAGGCCUUCCUGCGGUAUCCCCACCCCUUUUCUUCUUCAAACCUGUCACUGUGGACUUGGCCUUUUGCCCCAGCAUCCUCAUUUGCCUUCAUCCCUCGGGCUUUAUCUCUGUUAUCUUCUUUCUCUAUCCUCUCCCCAGCUUGAAGGGGUUCUGCUUUCUAUUCAUUCACAUAAUGUACCUUUCCUGAGCAUUACUGUAUACCAGGCACUGUGCUGGAUUCUAAAGACAUGAAGACAGCUAGGACAUGGCUUCCUGCCUUAGUGGGGCUCAUAGUCCCAUGAGGGGAGAGACCCAAGCGAAUCACGGAUUACGGAACCAUGUGAAAAACAACACACAGAGGUAGGUGCAGGGUGCUGUGAGAAGCCUAGGAAUGGAAGUCAGUGGGAGCAUUAAAUCAGACCCCCCCCAAGCAUAAAAGGGGGUUUUAACACUUUCAAGGGUCAGUGUGUGAUAAACAGAUGACCCUAAAAUAUUCAAGCUACAAAAAACCUAAAUACCCUAAUGCACUGUCAGUUCACAGGGGAAGAAAGAGACCCAGUGAGGGGAAAGUCAUUGCCAAAGGUCACACCCCCGGAUGCUGGUGAAGCCAAGACUACAACCAGAGCUGGAGUGUAGCCAGAUUUGGUGGUAAGGAGGGGUGGUGGAAGGGUGAUGGUGCAACAAUUCAGGUGUAGAGGAAAAACAGAAACAGUUAAGCAGUUAGUACAAUAAAUUGGGUGAGAAACGACAGAUGAAGAAAUGAUGGUGGUAUGGACCAGGUGGAGGAGCUAAAAAGAGGUCAGACGGUACCUACAUUUAAAAAGGAAAGCUGACAGAAUUUACUCAUCCUCUGGAUAUGGUGUGCGGAAGAAAGAAGAAUCCAGGAUGGCUCUAAAGUUAGUAUCUGAGCAGUUGGAAACUUAAGAGUUCAACAGUGAAGAUGCAGAAGAUGAUAGAAGGAACAGAGGAAAAUCUACAGUGUUAAUAAUCUAUACCACACUCUUCAGAGCUUCAGUACUGCUCUUGCGCCAUCUGGUACAAUUUUACGUGGCUUCUAGUCCAUCUAUGAGUUAGCUGCCCCACAAGCUAGUUAGCUCCUUGAAGGCAUGGAGUUGCCUCUCUCCUUGAGACUGAGCUCAGGCUGGCUCUGCAGUGCAACUUAGUGACCCCUGCCCCAGUAGGCCCCACUGUAUUCAGGCCUUCCUGCGGUAUCCCCACCCCUUUUCUUCUUCAAACCUGUCACUGUGGACUUGGCCUUUUGCCCCAGCAUCCUCAUUUGCCUUCAUCCCUCGGGGCUUUAUCUCUGUUAUCUUCUUUUCUCUAUCCUCUCCCCAGCUUGAAGGGGUUCUGCUUUCUAUUCAUUCACAUAAUGUACCUUUCCUGAGCAUUACUGUAUACCAGGCACUGUGCUGGAUUCUAAAGACAUGAAGACAGCUAGGACAUGGCUUCCUGCCUUAGUGGGGCUCAUAGUCCCAUGAGGGGAGAGACCCAAGCGAAUCACGGAUUACGGAACCAUGUGAAAAACAACACACAGAGGUAGGUGCAGGGUGCUGUGAGAAGCCUAGGAAUGGAAGUCAGUGGGAGCAUUAAAUCAGACCCCCAAGCAUAAAGGGGUU